UCUAGUCUGUGUCAGGAUGUCACUCAUAUUACUGUUUCUCCUCUCUGCAUUUGUAGCUGAUAGUAUGGAGCAGGAAACAAUAACUCCAGUGAAGCCUGAAGUCAAUGCUCUCCAAGGAACAGACAUCACUCUCUACUGCAACUACAAGGGCAACGU